UUUUUUUUCCAAUUGAUAUCUCAAAACAAAGAUCGACAUUUAAUACAAUCUGACUCGCUUCACUAAAAGGCCAAGUCAAAUGUUCAAUCUGACCACUGAUGCAGGGUUGGGUUUGUGGCCAAGCAGCCUGCGCCUUUAAAUUUUUCAUCUUCCUUCAUAAUUUGACCUGUCCCCCUGCCAGGGGCGUGGAGCCAGCACAGCUAUUUUUAGGUCUGGAGCUCUGACGACUGGAAUACGAGAGACACAGAGAAGGAGUUUUUUACUGUGUUGUUUCAGCUGGACAAACAUUUAACCCCCUCAAUCCUUUUAUCGCUGCACAGCCAUUAAGCCAAGAAGGAAAUACUCAGCUUGUGGGCUCAGAAUGCAGGCACAGAAUAACCCUGAAGCUAAAGCAUAUAUGUGGUGUGAUUGCUGCUGUUAUGCAAACAAGCACUACCAUGUGCAGUCUAUAUGGAUGCUGAUUACCGCAAAAUUCAGAAAAGCGCCAUAGCUUGUUUACUAAAUAAAAUCAUGGGGGAAAAAAACCCCUAAAUAAUUUAAUAUCAGAGCUGACUAUUGUGCAGAACCACGGACAUUUUUGAGGGGGUGAACAUUCUAGACCCACAUCACAGUUAAACAGAUCUGACAAACUCCUGAUCUCCAUGAUUUACUUUGGGCUCUCAUUCUGGCUGGGAUGGCGAGAGUGAUAACAAGCCCUCAAGUCCAUGGUAAAGAUUGCUAAAGACCCAGAGCUCCAUCUGUCACAUUAGCUGUCAGAGGAGGCCGGCUCUGACCCUGGGCUGGCCUUCCCAUGUACCGAGGCCGAACUGCCCAAGAGGAGAUACAAGACGGUCAGGGCAAUAUGAGCAACUAUUACUAUGACAGGAAUUUUUUUGCACAGAGGUGGGGAUUUCUUUCGAUGUUGCCAGGUAUCGCAGCACACAAAGUUUUUACAGAAUUUGAAUUUAAAAACGGCAAAGAACUUCAUCUCAUCAUUGUCAUGGUUUACAGUUCUUCAUGAGAGCCCAGAGGAAAUGCUAGAGUGGUCUGACUUUUCUCCAUCUCCGCAGAGGUGGUAGCACCACCUCGGAUGAAACUACGAAGAGCUGAGCAUUUUCUUAUUUACUCAUAGCAUCUCAAGUUAUGGUAUCUGUCUGGAUCUCAGCUCAGUUCAUCAAAAAGCAUUAAAGAGCCUCAGACAAUAAAUGUCAUGGAGAACAGUGGAGCCAUAUUGAUAAUAGAAAUGAAGAAAUGCAGCUCAGAUGGUACCUGCCCCCUCAAGCCAUCUGAGCAGUGUAGACAUCUGUGAGCUGCAACCUGCCAAGAACAAGCCUAAUGUAAAAAUAUCAAAAAAUAUUCUGAAAUGGAAAGACGGCUGGAGGGUCAUUUGGACAAACUGCAGUGAAAAGCCUUCAUGUCAAGAAUGAGCUGUGUUUUUUUCCUCUGUCCCUGUCUAAAGGAAAAUGUACACUGCCAGGUCUCGAAUUUAUGGGUUUUUCUAUGACUGCUCUGCGAAGCAGCUCUGAAAAGCUGUCAAGGCAAGAAACCUGUGGAAAGAGCACUUGUUAGCAGACGCCAAUAUCCAGCUGCCAUUUGAAAACGAGUUGCAUUUGUGAGGAACGUUUUUGUUGACAUCACAAAGUGUCCAUCAAAAUUGGAAGAUGUCAAAACACUGUACUGCAUAAUUCAUCACAACAGCUACAAGCCUUAAUUUAAUUUAUUUCGAUCCAGAAUGAAAUGAUUUUUUUUAUUUUUGUUUAGAAAAAUAUUUAUAGUUCUGUGGAUGUAUGGACCAUAAAGAAGUGCUCACUUCUUUAAGGUUUUCUUUGAAUAUCAUCUUGUGAUGUUUUAAAGAGAUGUUGAUUAAUUUUUAAUGCAUUACUGAUAUUCAAUGGAGAAACAAACCAUUUUCAGAGGAAUAUUUAACUCUAAGAAAGAUAUCGCUUGUUCUCAUUUGUUCAGGGUUACCUUUAAAAAUUCUAAGAAUAAUGCCAUAAUGUUUUGUCAGUUGAAGUUGGACCCAAACGCAGAGAUACUGAGGUGGCAAAUGAAUUAGAAAGUUUAAUGAAAACAAACUUAAAAAGAUAACAUGUAACCAGGUCAGGAAUGGAUAAAAAAUCCAAGUAAAGAAACCAGCAUGGAGACACAAGGAGAACUAGGGAAAGUGACACGGGUAAACGAGAGGAUCUGACAAGGAGUGGCUGAAAAUGAGAAGCUUAAAUACUGGGAGGUUGAAUGCUGAGACAAAGGACCUAGGGUGAUGAGUUAAAGGGUUGCAGGUGAGAGUGAAGGGAACAGGAAGCAGACUGAGGAGAGGGAGAGAAAGAGAAUGGCACAGGGGCGAGAGAGAGAUUACACAGGGAACUAGGAAAUAAGUCCAACUCAAAAGAAUAUAACUAUACUAAAGAAACAUAUUAAAACUAGAGAAGCUAAAAAUAACUAGAAACAGAAAUAAACAUAAUUAGAGACAUUAAGAAGAACUGAACUAAAGCUAAACAGAAACAAGAUUGAGUUAAAUAAAAGAGGAA